UGCCAGCCGCCGCGGUAAUACGGAGGGAGCUAGCGUUGUUCGGAAUUACUGGGCGUAAAGAGCGUGUAGGCUGUUAGGUAAGUCAGAGGUGAAAGCCCUAAGCUCAACUUAGGAACUGCCUUUGAUACUAUCUAACUAGAGAUCGAGAGAAGUUAGCGGAAUUCCAAGUGUAGAGGUGAAAUUCGUAGAUAUUUGGAAGAACACCAGUGGCGAAAGCGGUUAACUGGCUCGUAUCUGACGCUGAGACGCGAAAGCGUGGGUAGCAAACAGGAUUAGAUA
rnacentral:rRNA from 1 species